AUUGAACGCUGGCGGCAGGCUUAACACAUGCAAGUCGAGCGGGGAAAGGUAGCUUGCUACCUGACCUAGCGGCGGACGGGUGAGUAAUGCUUAGGAAUCUGCCUAUUAGUGGGGGACAACAUCUCGAAAGGGAUGCUAAUACCGCAUACGUCCUACGGGAGAAAGCAGGGGACCUUCGGGCCUUGCGCUAAUAGAUGAGCCUAAGUCGGAUUAGCUAGUUGGUGGGGUAAAGGCCUACCAAGGCGACGAUCUGUAGCGGGUCUGAGAGGAUGAUCCGCCACAUUGGGACUGAGACACGGCCCAGACUCCUACGGGAGGCAGCAGUGGGGAAUAUUGGACAAUGGGGGGAACCCUGAUCCAGCCAUGCCGCGUGUGUGAAGAAGGCCUUUUGGUUGUAAAGCACUUUAAGCGAGGAGGAGGCUACCGAGAUUAAUACUCUUGGAUAGUGGACGUUACUCGCAGAAUAAGCACCGGCUAACUCUGUG
rnacentral:rRNA from 1 species